rnacentral:lncRNA from 1 species
CAGCAGGUUCCAUCUGUGGUCGUGGUGGUAGGACUGGGAGCGAAACACAGACGUGAAGUCUCUUCCUGUUCGUCCAAGAGGAUCCCACGAGCAAGGAGCACCAUCCAACCUUUCAUCAUUCUGUUUCCCAUCCCUGCAUAACAGUCCACUUUCCAAGCAUCCAAAACCAGCAUCUGCACUCGGACAACUGCAAAGGCAGCUCAGUCAGCAACAGCGCACCA